CACUGUACCUUUACCUUUCUAUUGCAUCCUAUUGUAGGUUUCCUCACUUUCUAUUUCAUUUGAAAAUGCAUCUUAUCUCUCCUAUCACAUAUCUCUUUCUAUCUCCUUCAACCUUCAUCUCCUUCUCCCCCCAACCUACUUCAAACCCAUUCUACUAACCUUCAUCUCCUUCAUCUCUCAAGCCUAUUACCAAACUUCUCGUGGCGAAUGAUUUAGUGGUUGAUCCUCACGGCUGCGGAACGAAAAUGAUUUCAGAUUUAAGGUUUGGUUCAAAUUUUUUACGAUCUGAAAAUUAGAAAGGAAUAGAGAUUCACACCAGUGGUGAUUAAAGCAUGAUGCAAAAGAAGAGCUAUAAGAACAAGGAUCUGAUAAAAUUUCAGUAAUUAGUAAAGGAUGAGAAGAAUAAAUUUUAGAUGACAAAUUUUUUGCUGCGACGAGAAGAUAAAGUAUCUCAGGUUUAAGGUUUAGUAGAUCUCCAGUGUAAAUUUUUUUAGAUCUGGAGAUUAAAGAGAAACACCAACAAUUUUAUCUUUAUCAGAUGCUUUGGGGCUAGUGUUUAUGUAUACUGGUGUUAACUCUCUCACUUUUGGCCUUCAUGUGCAUUUACGCUUAUGUCAUAUUUCACAACUUCAUUCAUAUGUCACAAAUUCUACCAUGGGGACUCAUACAUGUCAUAGUUUCUAAAGAUUGAGUUCAUUUUCUUACCCAAAAUGAAUUUCAAGAUGGAGAAAUACUUUUCAUAAAAUUUCAUGCAUGAGAAUAACUGGUGUUGUAAAAGUUAUAUUUUAAUAAUUAUAUAUUAACCUACAAGAUUAUAUUAACUUAAAAUUAAUUGAUUUUUAUUACUAUCAUUAUUUGUAAUCAUUUUAUAACAACUAUUAAAAAAUAUUGUUAUAAAACUUAAAGAAAAAAAGAGAAAGAAGUAAAUAGAAAUUGAUGGAGUAUUUAUUAUUGAUUAAGAUGAGGGUAGAAAAAUAAAUGAGAGUUUGAAAAUAAAGUACCAAUAGAGAAAGCAUAGAGGUGCAGAAAUGAUGUACUUUCUGAGAUGACUGUAUGGGUGGAUAUGUCUUUUCCAUCAAAUUUAAUGAAUAAAUAUUAUGCAGGGUUUUUAGGCUUUUUUUCCACAAUAGUAGUUGUGCUUAUUUUACUAUUUGACAGUUUUUUUUAAUAGAAUAAGUGAUUGUGAUUUCUCAUAGCAGAAUAAUUAAUGCACUUUACCGUUUCAAUAUAUCUUUUUAUUAUAGUAUUUAUAAAAAUAAAAAAUUACUAAAAU